UAAGGAAUAUUGGGCAAUGGACGAAAGUCUGACCCAGCCAUGCCGCGUGAAGGAUUAAGGUCCUCUGGAUUGUAAACUUCUUUUCUCUGGGGCGAAAAACAGCUAUUCUUAGUUGCUUGACAGUACCAGAGGAAUAAGCACCGGCUAACUCCGUGCCAGCAGCCGCGGUAAUACGGAGGGUGCAAGCGUUAUCCGGAUUCACUGGGUUUAAAGGGUGCGUAGGUGGGCUAGUAAGUCAGUGGUGAAAUCCCCGAGCUUAACUUGGGAACUGCCGUUGAUACUAUUAGUCUUGAAUGUUGUGGAGGUAAGCGGAAUAUGUCAUGUAGCGGUGAAAUGCUUAGAUAUGACAUAGAACACCAAUUGCGAAGGCAGCUUGCUACACAAA
rnacentral:rRNA from 1 species